AUUAUGAUAAUUAACUACAUUAUUAUAGAUGUAUGGAGUCCGGCUACUAUACUCUUAUGAGUACGAUCGCUCUCGUACUCAUAAAUUAUUUUCGAUGAUAGAGCUUCUGAAUCGACGAUCCAUAUUGUUAAAUAUUAUCUAGAGUAUUUAAAACUACUAGAAAUCAAAUUUUAUAAUUUUUCGAUAUCAUUUACCUUCUGAUCAAAAGCUCACAAAAUUGACAAAUUUUAACUGCCGGUACGAAAUAUUUGCUAGUUUAACGGUUUAAAAGAAUCGGAAUAAGUUGAAUUUUUGAUAGAAAAUUUUAUUCACUACCUAAAUAAAGAUCAAUAACUUCGAUCUUAAAUUAAAGGAUUCGAUCAUCCAUUUUUAGGAUGUCGUACGAUUCUGACCGUUCAUUUUAUACCCGCUUGAUGGACUUUAUAAUGAUUUCGAAAAAGUACGAAAUUUAUUUUCUAGAAGUUUUAAAUAUUCUAGAUCAUGUUUAACAGUGUAGAUCGUCGAUUCGAAAAUCCUAACAUCGAAAACAACUUAUGAGUAUAAAGGGCUCUAUACUAAUAAAAGUAUAGUAACCCUACUGUAGAUAUAUGUAUGUAAUUAUCAUU
rnacentral:lncRNA from 1 species